UACCUACGGGGCGCAGCAGUGAGGAAUAUUGGUCAAUGGGCGCGAGCCUGAACCAGCCAAGUCGCGUGAGGGAGGACGGCCCUACGGGUUGUAAACCUCUUUUGCCGGGGAGCAACGGGCGUCACGUGUGGCGCCACUGAGAGUACCCGGAGAAAAAGCAUCGGCUAACUCCGUGCCAGCAGCCGCGGUAAUACGGAGGAUGCGAGCGUUAUCCGGAUUCAUUGGGUUUAAAGGGUGCGCAGGCGGGCCUUUAAGCCGGCGGUGAAAU
rnacentral:rRNA from 1 species